UGCAAGGCGGACGCAUCCUUCGGGAUGAGUGGCAGACGGGUGAGUAACACGUGGGAACGUGCCCUCCGGUCUGGGAUAACCCUGGGAAACUAGGGCUAAUACCGGAUACGUGCUUUGGCAGAAAGGUUUACUGCCGGAGGAUCGGCCCGCGUCUGAUUAGCUAGUUGGUGGGGUAACGGCCUACCAAGGCGACGAUCAGUAGCUGGUCUGAGAGGAUGAUCAGCCACACUGGGACUGAGACACGGCCCAGACUCCUACGGGAGGCAGCAGUGGGGAAUAUUGGACAAUGGGCGCAAGCCUGAUCCAGCCAUGCCGCGUGAGUGAUGACGGCCUUAGGGUUGUAAAGCUCUUUUCUCCGGGACGAUAAUGACGGUACCGGAGGAAUAAGCCCCGGCUAACUUCGUGCCAGCAGCCGCGGUAAUACGAAGGGGGCUAGCGUUGCUCGGAAUCACUGGGCGUAAAGGGCGCGUAGGCGGCGUUUUAAGUCGGGGGUGAAAGCCUGUGGCUCAACCACAGAAUGGCCUUCGAUACUGGGACGCUUGAGUAUGGUAGAGGUUGGUGGAACUGCGAGUGUAGAGGUGAAAUUCGUAGAUAUUCGCAAGAACACCGGUGGCGAAGGCGGCCAACUGG
rnacentral:rRNA from 1 species